rnacentral:rRNA from 1 species
GAUCGGGCUAUCUGCAGUCGAGCGAUGAUGAGGAGCUUGCUCCUCUGAUUUAGCGGCGGACGGGUGAGUAACACGUGGGUAAUCUGCCUGUAAGACGGGGAUAACUCCGGGAAACCGGGGCUAAUACCGGAUAAUAAAAAGAAAAGCAUUUUUUCUUUUUGAAAGUCGGUUUCGGCUGACACUUACAGAUGAGCCCGCGGCGCAUUAGCUAGUUGGUGAGGUAACGGCUCACCAAGGCGACGAUGCGUAGCCGACCUGAGAGGGUGAUCGGCCACACUGGGACUGAGACACGGCCCAGACUCCUACGGGAGGCAGCAGUAGGGAAUCUUCGGCAAUGGGCGAAAGCCUGACCGAGCAACGCCGCGUGAGCGAUGAAGGCCUUCGGGUCGUAAAGCUCUGUUGUUAGAGAAGAACAAGUACGAGAGUAACUGCUCGUACCUUGACGGUACCUAACCAGAAAGCCACGGCUAACUACGUGCCAGCAGCCGCGGUAAUACGUAGGUGGCAAGCGUUAUCCGGAAUUAUUGGGCGUAAAGCGCGCGCAGGCGGUCUCUUAAGUCUGAUGUGAAAGCCCACGGCUCAACCGUGGAGGGUCAUUGGAAACUGGGAGACUUGAGUGCAGGAGAGAAAAGUGGAAUUCCACGUGUAGCGGUGAAAUGCGUAGAGAUGUGGAGGAACACCAGUGGCGAAGGCGGCUUUUUGGCCUGUAACUGACGCUGAGGCGCGAAAGCGUGGGGAGCAAACAGGAUUAGAUACCCUGGUAGUCCACGCCGUAAACGAUGAGUGCUAGGUGUUGGGGGGUUCCACCCUCAGUGCUGAAGUUAACACAUUAAGCACUCCGCCUGGGGAGUACGACCGCAAGGUUGAAACUCAAAGGAAUUGACGGGGGCCCGCACAAGCAGUGGAGCAUGUGGUUUAAUUCGAAGCAACGCGAAGAACCUUACCAGGUCUUGACAUCCUCUGACCACUCUAGAGAUAGAGCUUUCCCCUUCGGGGGACAGAGUGACA